rnacentral:rRNA from 1 species
AACGAACGCUGGCGGCAGGCUUAACACAUGCAAGUCGAGCGCGGUCUUUCGGGACUGAGCGGCGGACGGGUGAGUAACGCGUGGGAACGUGCCCUCUUCUCCGGAAUAGCCCUGGGAAACCGGGAGUAAUGCCGGAUACGCCGUUUCGUGGAGACACGGGACGGGAAAGAUUUAUCGGAGGAGGAUCGGCCCGCGUUGGAUUAGGUAGUUGGUGGGGUAACGGCCUACCAAGCCGACGAUCCAUAGCUGGUUUGAGAGGAUGACCAGCCACACUGGGACUGAGACACGGCCCAGACUCCUACGGGUGGCUG